rnacentral:rRNA from 1 species
UAUAGUUUGGGAUAACUCCGGGAAACCGGGGCUAAUACCGAAUAAUCUCUUUUGCUUCAUGGUGAAAGACUGAAAGACGGUUUCGGCUGUCGCUAUAGGAUGGGCCCGCGGCGCAUUAGCUAGUUGGUGAGGUAACGGCUCACCAAGGCGACGAUGCGUAGCCGACCUGAGAGGGUGAUCGGCCACACUGGGACUGAGACACGGCCCAGACUCCUACGGGAGGCAGCAGUAGGGAAUCUUCCACAAUGGGCGAAAGCCUGAUGGAGCAACGCCGCGUGAGUGAAGAAGGUUUUCGGAUCGUAAAACUCUGUUGUAAGGGAAGAACAAGUACAGUAGUAACUGGCUGUACCUUGACGGUACCUUAUUAGAAAGCCACGGCUAACUACGUGCCAGCAGCCGCGGUAAUACGUAGGUGGCAAGCGUUGUCCGGAAUUAUUGGGCGUAAAGCGCGCGCAGGCGGUCCUUUAAGUCUGAUGUGAAAGCCCACGGCUCAACCGUGGAGGGUCAUUGGAAACUGGGGGACUUGAGUGCAGAAGAGGAAAGUGGAAUUCCAAGUGUAGCGGUGAAAUGCGUAGAGAUUUGGAGGAACACCAGUGGCGAAGGCGACUUUCUGGUCUGUAACUGACGCUGAGGCGCGAAAGCGUGGGGAGCAAACAGGAUUAGAUACCCGUGGUAGUCCACGCCGUAAACGAUGAGUGCUAAGUGUUAGGGGGUUUCCGCCCCUUAGUGCUGCAGCUAACGCAUUAAGCACUCCGCCUGGGGAGUACGGUCGCAAGACUGAAACUCAAAGGAAUUGACGGGGGCCCGCACAAGCGGUGGAGCAUGUGGUCUAAUUCGAAGCAACGCG